rnacentral:rRNA from 2 species
ACGAAGAGUUUGAUCCUGGCUCAGGAUUAACGCUAGCUGUGCGCCUAACACAUGCAAGUCGUGCGAGAUCAUCUAGAUAGCUUGCUAUAGAGAUGUGAAAGCGGCAAACGGGUGAGUAACACGUUGAUAAUCUGCCCUCUACUCAGGGAUAAGCCAUAGAAAUGUGGUCUAAUACCGGAUGGCCCAUAUAGCUGUGAUGCAGUAUGGUAAAGCUUCGGCGGUAGAGGAGGAAUCUGCGUCCUAUCAGCUUGUUGGCGGGGUAAAAGCCCACCAAGGCUAUGACGGGUAGCUGGUCUGAGAGGAUGACCAGUCACAAUGGGACUGAGACACGGCCCAUACUCCUACGGGAGGCAGCAGUGAGGAAUUUUCCGCAAUGGACUAACGUCUGACGGAGCGACACAGCGUGAGGGAUGAAGGGUCUAGGCUCGUAAACCUCUUUUCUGAAGGAAUAAGGUCUGAAGCUACUUCAGGAAUAAGCAACGGCUAACUACGUGCCAGCAGCCGCGGUAAUACGUAGGUUGCAAGCGUUAUCCGGAAUUACUGGGCGUAAAGCGUCUGUAGGCGGCGAGGUAAGUAAGGGGUAAAAUCUCCGGGCCCAACCCGGAAUGUGUCUCUUAAACUGCUUUGCUAGAGAAAUGGAGGGGUGAAUGGAAUUCCUGGUGUAGGGGUAAAAUCCGUUGAUAUCAGGAGGAACGCUAAAAGCGAAGGCAGUUCACUGGCCAUUUCUGACGCUGAGAGACGAAAGCGUGGGGAGCAAACAGGAUUAGAUACCCUGGUAGUCCACGCCGUAAACUAUGAGUACUAGGUGUAGGAGGUCGAUCCCUCCUGUGCCGUAGCUAACGCGUUAAGUACUCCGCCUGAGGACUACGGUCGCAAGACUAAAACUCAAAGGAAUAGACGGGGACCCACACAAGCGGUGGAGCAUGUUGUUUAAUUCGACAAUAAACGAGAAACCUUACCCAGGUUUGACAUCCCGAGAAUCCCCCAGAGAUGGAGGAGUGCCGCAAGGAACUCGGUGACAGGUGCUGCAUGGUUGUCGUCAGCUCGUGCCUUGAGGUGUUCGGUUAAGUCCGUGAACGAGCGAAACCCUUGUCCUGUGUUAUAUAUGUCACAGGAGACUGCCCUGGUUAACAGGGAGGAAGGCGAGGAUGAUGUCAAAUCAGCAUGGCCCUUAUGCCUGGGGCUACUAACGUGCUACAAUGGGAUGUACAAUGGGCAGCCAAGCAGCAAUGCGGAGCUAAUCCCACCAAAGCAUCUCUCAGUUCGGAUUGGGGGCUGCAACUCGACCCCAUGAAGUUGGAAUCGCUAGUAAUCGUGAAUCAGCUAUGUCACGGUGAAUAUGUUCCUGGGUCUUGUACUCACCGCCCGUCAAGUCAUGGAAGCUAGGGGCACCCGACAACUCCAGAUUAAUAUUGGGGGCUAAGGUGAAACUAGUGACUGGGACUAAGUCGUAACAAGGUAUCCGUAGGAGAACCUGCGGAUGGAUCACCUCCUUUC